GUGAACGCUGGCGGCGUGCCUAACACAUGCAAGUCGAACGAUGAUAGGAAGCUUGCUUUCUUGAUUAGUGGCGCACGGGUGAGUAAUGCAUAGAUAAUGUGCCCCUUAGUUCGGGAUAGCCACUGGAAACGGUGAUUAAUACUAGAUACACCUCUUUAGCUCAAGCUGAGGAGGGAAACGUUUUUUCGCUUCGAGAUCAGACUAUAUCCUAUCAGUUAGUUGGUGAGGUAAUGGCUCACCAAGGCAAUGACGGGUAGCGGUUCUGAGAGGAUGAUCCGCCACACUGGUACUGAGACACGGACCAGACUCCUACGGGAGGCAGCAGUGAGGAAUAUUGCACAAUGGGGGGAACCCUGAUGCAGCAACGCCGCGUGGAGGAUGACGCAUUUCGGUAUGUAAACUCCUUUUAUAUGUCGAGAAAAUGACGGUAGCAUAUGAAUAAGCACCGGCUAACUCCGU
rnacentral:rRNA from 1 species